GAUCAUGGCUCAGGACGAACGCUGGCGGCGCGCCUAACACAUGCAAGUCGAACGGAGCUUAGAGAGCUUGCUUUUUAAGCUUAGUGGCGAACGGGUGAGUAACGCGUGAGUAACCUGCCCUAGAGUGGGGGACAACAGUUGGAAACGACUGCUAAUACCGCAUAAGCCCACGGUACCGCAUGGCACUGAGGGAAAGGAUUUAUUCGCUUUAGGAUGGACUCGACGUUCCAAUUAGCUAGUUGGUGAGG
rnacentral:rRNA from 1 species